rnacentral:rRNA from 1 species
GAUCAUGGCUCAGGAUGAACGCUAGCUACAGGCUUAACACAUGCAAGUCGAGGGGCAUCAGGAAGAAAGCUUGCUUUCUUUGCUGGCGACCGGCGCACGGGUGAGUAACACGUAUCCAACCUGCCCUUUACUCGGGGAUAGCCUUUCGAAAGAAAGAUUAAUACCCGUUAGCAUAAUGAUUCCGCAUGGUUUCAUUAUUAAAGGAUUCCGGUAAAGGAUGGGGACGCGUUCCAUUAGGUUGUUGGUGAGGUAACGG